rnacentral:lncRNA from 1 species
CUGGGAUUGGGGACAUCAUGAUGCAGCAGCUGGAGAUGAGUCAGGAAUUGUCAGAUCUAUGAUUUAGCCAUCUGAGAUGGCGUGACUCAACUAUUUUAAAGUCCGAUGAUUCAUUGAUCUGAAAAUGCACAAGUUGAGCCUGUGGCAUUUGGGGAAGCGCGUGUGGGGCGAGGACAGAGCUGGGAGAACGUGCAAGGCUGUGCAGCUGAGGGAUCUGACUCAGAGACAACUGCAGAAACCCGAGCGUGGAGGCGUGACAUGGGAGUCUGAGUGGCCACCUGUUGUGCAGAUCACACCAGCCGCUCCCGCGGUGGGACCAGGCGCUGGGUCAGGGUCAGCGACGGGAUGUGCAACAGAUAAUGCUUUGCAGCUCAUACGACACCCAAUCAGCAUGACCCCCAGGGGUCCUGGAGCCAGCUUGGGCUGGAGAGUGCCCCGGUGCCCAUCUCCUCCCACCUCCGCUCCCAGUGAUGCCAAGUCUCCCCCAGACACCAUCUGGCCGGCAGGCCUCGCUGACCCUGCACCUUCACCGCCAGGACCCGGUGGCACCUGGCUUUCUGGAGCCCUUCUCGCCCGCCCCGCCGGCUCUCUCUGCUGGGAGGCGUGCUCCUGCAUUUCCCAGCUGGGAGCUGUCCUAGGAGAGUGGUCCAGAGAACCAGAGGCCGGCUGCACAGAAGACGCAUUCGCCUUGAGUGAUGAUUCACCUGCAGGUGCUUCAGAGCGUGGAGCCAAAAGAUAGAUUCACCCUUGGAGGGCAACGUUUGCUUGCAAUGUCUAGCUUUAUGGAGGAUAGAAACUGUGAAUUUUAAAAGCCAAGGACAGCACGUGGAAAAUCUGUGAAGCCCUUUCAUUCUCUUAUCUCCGAGGAGCUGGUGAGGAGAUGUUGAUAAACGGUGGAUUCAGACACAUGCAGCUCCUGGGCCAAUGGGAUCAUCCAGGCAGGCUUGGGGGCACCCUCUCUACUGGCAGCAAAUCAUUUCUGGGCUCAGCUGUUGCCAUCUUUGCUGCAGAACACAGCGGAGCCUGCGGUGAACAGAUUAGCUGAACUCCAAAGAUUGCACAUGCAUUUUCAUGGGCAUGGUUUUUCAAAAUACCCUUUUCACUGAAGAAUAACAUACAAACAGAGAAGUUCACAAAUCAUGAAUGUACAGCUUGAUGCAUUUACAAAAGGGGACACGCCCAUGAAACCACCAUCCAGAUGAAGACACAGAACAUUAACGGGGCCCCCCGAGCUCCCUGGUUCCCCUCCCCUCACUGAUGUCCUCAAAGGGAACCACUAUUCUGAGUCCCGUUACCAUCAAUGAGUUCCGUCUGGGUUUGAACUUUACAUAAACGAAAUCAUACAGUGCAUCCUCCUUUGUGUCUG